rnacentral:rRNA from 1 species
GAUGAACGCUGGCGGCGUGCCUAAUACAUGCAAGUCGAGCGAACAGGUGAGGAUCUUGCGCCGCGGACGUUAGCCGCGGACGUGUGAGUAACACGUGUAUAACCUACCUAUAAUACGGGUAUAACUACGGGAAACCGGCUCUAAUACCAUAUAAGCUAUUGAACCGCAUUGUGGAAUGGUAAAUUUCGGCGGUGCGGGCACUUAUAGCUGGAUCACCGCCGGAUUAGCUAGUUGGUAAGGUAACGGGUUACCAAGGGAACGAGGCGUUGACGAGGUGAGAGGGUGAUAGGCCACCCUGGAACUGGGACAGGGUCAAGAGGCCUACGGGAGGGCGCAGUAUGCAAUCUUACGCAAUGGGGGGAAGCAUGACGGAACAACGCCGAGCGAGUGAUGACGGUCUUCGGAUCGUAAAAACCUGUUAUUAGGGAAGAACAAAUGUGUAAGGAAAUAUGGAGGUCUUGACGGUAAUUAAUAAGAAAGCACCGGCUAACUACGUG